rnacentral:rRNA from 1 species
CAGCGCCGCGGUAAAACGUAGGGUGCAAGCGUUAAUCGGAAUUACUGGGCGUAAAGCGUGCGCAGGCGGUUAUAUAAGACAGAUGUGAAAUCCCCGGGCUCAACCUGGGAACUGCAUUUGUGACUGUAUAGCUAGAGUACGGCAGAGGGGGAUGGAAUUCCGCGUGUAGCAGUGAAAUGCGUAGAUAUUGGGAAGAACACCAGUGGCGAAGGCGGCUCACUGGACCGACACUGACGCUGAGGCGCGAAAGCGUGGGGAGCAAACAGGAUUAGAUACCCCAGUAGUCCCUGUCUCUUAUACA